GGAGUGGUGGUUCAGUGGUAGAAUCCUUGACUUCCAUGUGGGAGUCCUGGGUUCAAUUCCCAGCCAAUGCA
rfam:Loxodonta africana unplaced genomic scaffold scaffold_197, whole genome shotgun sequence.